UACGUAGGGGGCUAGCGUUGUCCGGAUUUAUUGGGCGUAAAGAGCGUGUAGGCGGCCAUACAGGUCCGUUGUGAAAACUGGAGGCUUAAACCCUCCAGACGUCGAUGGAAACCGUAUGGCUAGAGUCCGGAAGAGGAGAGUGGAAUUCCUGGUGUAGCGGUGAAAUGCGCAGAUAUCAGGAAGAACACCCGUGGCGAAGGCGGCUCUCUGGGACGGUACUGACGCUGAGACGCGAAAGCGUGGGGAGCGAACAGG
rnacentral:rRNA from 1 species